AUUUGAAACAGUUUGGAACAGAUCCUGAAAUUAAUGACAUAUUGAUAAUUUCCAGCAUAGUCGGCCCAAGAGUGGGGCCACAGGUCUUUAAAAAGUGUUGUUGGUAUUGGGUUGAAUAAGCAAGUU